AUAACCUAUUAAGGUGUAUUGUGUAACAAGUAUAACAAAAAAUUCUGUUCUUAUCACAAUAAUAUCUGAUAAGGAUCCUAUUUGGAUCCAAGAUAUUGUAACGGAGCGGAGUGCUAGAAGCUUGUUUCACCUCCGCCACUGCUUGACUUGGCAUUGCACUACCUCCAGGUUCGGCACACUCAU